rnacentral:rRNA from 1 species
UACGAGGGGUCCUAGCGUUGUUCGGAAUCAUUGGGCGUAAAGGAUGCGUAGGUGGCCAUUCAAGUCAGUUGUGAAAUCCCCGGGCUCAACCCGGGAAGUGCUUCUGAUACUGUUUGGCUUGAGUACUGGAGAGGAUAGUAGAAUUCCAGGUGUAGUGGUGAAAUACGUAGAUAUCUGGAGGAAUACCGGUGGCGAAGGCGGCUAUCUGGCCAUGUACUGACACUGAAGCACGAAAGCGUGGGGAGCAAACAGG